CAACAGGGAUUGCCCUAGUAACGGCGAGUGAAGCGGCAACAGCUCAAAUUUGAAAUCUGGCUCUCGGGCCCGAGUUGUAAUUUGUAGAGGAUACUUUUGAUGCGGUGCCUUCCGAGUUCCCUGGAACGGGACGCCAUAGAGGGUGAGAGCCCCGUCUGGUUGGAUGCCAAAUCUCUGUAAAGUUCCUUCGACGAGUCGAGUAGUUUGGGAAUGCUGCUCUAAAUGGGAGGUAUAUGUCUUCUAAAGCUAAAUACCGGCCAGAGACCGAUAGCGCACAAGUAGAGUGAUCGAAAGAUGAAAAGCACUUUGAAAAGAGAGUUAAAAAGUACGUGAAAUUGUUGAAAGGGAAGCGUUUAUGACCAGACUUGGGCUUGGUUAAUCAUCUGGGGUUCUCCCCAGUGCACUUUUCCAGUCCAG
rnacentral:rRNA from 1 species